UUAAAUCAUCAGUUAGACACAGAACAUCAGAUCAUAGUUUCUUGAAAUCUUUAUCCCUAAGCUAACUUUCGAAAUCUACAACCUAGAACUCGAUAGAAAUAUGAGCAAUUACCUCCUGACCAGCGUUGUGAGAAGAGGAAGAGGAGGGUUUAGUUGUAGAAUCGUUGUCAUCUUCGCCGACAGGAAUCAGAAGCUCCCGAUCUCGGUUAGCCAUCACGAUCCCGGCUUUCGCGUCUCCCAUAAACAGUGAAGUAAUUGAAACCCAGAAGCAGUAGAGGGAAGGGAGAUCGACAAUGGAUGAGGAGGAGAUUUGUCAAAGCCUUCAACGAUGAAGAAAAUCCCUAAUCCCUGAUUCGACGGUCACAGAAAAAGAGAGAUUAUCUGUUUCGCAAAACUUUUUAUUUUUCAACUUAUACAAUGUCUCUAUUCAUUUUAAUUCAUUAUUACUAGAUUUUGAUGAAAAUGAAAAUAUGUAUGUUUGGAUUGUAUUUAUAGGAGGUUAUAUUUCUUAAUGUGUAAUUUUAAAUCGAGCACCAGAUAAAAUUGUCUAAGUUUUUGACAUAAUGAUAAUAUAUCAAUCUACUUUAAUAGUGUAUAGAUGAUUUCUUAUUUAUUAACUUCAAAGUCAAGGUAAACUAUAAUUUUUUAUUCCUUUCGGAUUUUAAAUUAUACAUAAAUUAUUUUGAACACAUUAUAAUAUUUAUAUUAAGGUAAAGUUUAACUUGGGAAUGCGGUAUGAUCAAUAUUAUUCCAAGUUGGACAGGUUCAAAAUAUGACACAAAUCGAUAAAGUAAUAAGAUAAUAUUUUUUUUUGAAAAAUGUAAAGUAAAUAUAUCAUCCAAUUCAAAUUAUAAAUUAAUAAUUAUACUUAUAUACAUUUUAUAUAAAUGUAAAUAAACCAUUAUAUUGUUUGUUUUAUAUUCAUAAUGGAAUUAUCUUUAUUGUAUAUUAUUUUUAAUGAAUUUGAAAAAACUGUUAUAGUUUUUUUAAGAAAAAAAUAAUCUUUAUAUUAUUAAUACAUUAUAAUGUUGACUUAAUUAUAAUUUAAUUAUUUUUCUUUGCUACAUAAUUGUGAUUUGUUUUUUAAAUGAGCCAGAAAGUGGCUUGACUAUAUUUAAGCUCAUAAAAUUAUCAAGAUGGGCUGUUAUUUAGAUAUUUAUGUUAAGCAAAUUCUGUUACAUAAGGAAUUCAAUAAAAUCGGCCCAAGCCCACACAAAUUCUAUAGCUUUUACACGAUAGAUACCAGAUAUUUUUGCCAUUUUCAGACAGCUUUUCGUUUUCCAAAAAAACAAACAAACUCUCUAAUAGCGAUUGAACCAACAAACGAUAUGUGUCUUCCACGAAUCGACUCAGUCUCAUCUCCAAGGUUACCCAUUGUUACUCUAUUUUCUUCAUCCUUGACAGAGAGUUGACUCGAAUCAAUUCUUACAUAAAGCUUUUUUUUUUUUGCAUGUCUCUCCGAUGGCUUAAAUAUAAUCGAAGUUGAUAUCGUGGUGAGCUGAUUCAACAGACAAAAAACUCCAAAGGUUUGUCUUCAUGUUCGUAAAUCCACCAUUAAUAACAUGAUUACUUAAGAAUUUUUAAUUAAAACAUAUUUACCAAAAGCCCAUUAGAUGAACCGAUUUACAUUUUUUUUUUCAGGUUUCAUUCGUCAGAAGAAAUAAAAGAACAUUUUUUUCUUAACUGCUGGUUCCUCUUGGUUAAACAGAAGAAGAUGGAAUCUCCGAAAGUAUAUCUCCAUCCGAUCCGUAAAAGGUAAUUCCAAUGUUACUUUUUUUGUCUCUUCAUCCAUUUCUUUUAAAUAUAAUUUGUAUUUUCAGAUCUAACUUUUUUUUUUAUAUAAUGAAGACUCCACCAAAACAGAGAGAGAGAGAUUUAAGGGAAAGACACCUGGUGAAAUGGCAGUACUGAUUUGCUUGGAGGCAUUGUAGAUGUGGCGAACAAAAGGCAUGCGCUUGAUAAACCACUCUCCCAAAUUAAGAACCGAAGUCCCCAACCAUGACGACAUGAACACUCCAACGAAGAAGAUAAAUGUAAUGGAUGUGAUAAACCCAAGUCCUGGAAACCAAAUUGAUACAUAUUUAUCUUGAAGAUUGGCAAUGAAGAUAUAUAAAUAUAUAUAUAUAUUGGGGGAGAAGCUGACCAAAAAGGUUAAUUCCGAGGUGAGCAUAUAUCGGGGAGAAGAAGCCAUCAACGAAAUGAAUAAACCACCACGUGACAUAGAAAGUGAUGGCCAUGGGCAGCAAGAUAACACUGCAGGAAGCAACAAAAAGGCACUUUGCUUGCUUAGGCGAAAAAUAGAAAGUGAAGGAAGAAAAGAGGUUACUAACCAUCCAGUCAUGAACUUCUUCGAUGCCCAGCUUCUUAUCAACUUGUAAAACGUCUUAAAUCAUCAGUUAGACACAGAACAUCAGAUCAUAGUUUCUUGAAAUCUUUAUCCCUAAGCUAACUUUCGAAAUCUACAACCUAGAACUCGAUAGAAAUAUGAGCAAUUACCUCCUGACCAGCGUUGUGAGAAGAGGAAGAGGAGGGUUUAGUUGUAGAAUCGUUGUCAUCUUCGCCGACAGGAAUCAGAAGCUCCCGAUCUCGGUUAGCCAUCACGAUCCCGGCUUU
rnacentral:lncRNA from 1 species